rnacentral:tRNA from 1 species
AUGUGGUUCAGUGGCAGAAUGCUUGCCUAGCAUGCAUGAAGCCCUAGGUUCAAUUCCUUACAU